GCCCCGGCGCCCCGGCCCUCAGGGGCCGCCCCGCUGCCCGAGCCCGCCGCCGGGCGGGGCAGCGGCCACGACCCCGGCCCAGUAACCGCGUUUGCGCUUGCUUUUCGCCUCCCACCGGUGCCGGGACGGGGCCGGUGCCUCGGCGGGGGUGUCGUGCUUGGCGUGCCCGAAGCACCCUCCCCUCCCCCGCACCCCCGCGGCACGGCUCCCAGCGCUCCCGGCGCUGAGAGAACCCGGGCAGCCCUUAAAGAACUAUUUACCAUUAAUACUGUGUCAUUUAUUCCACAGCUCGACCUCCCGGAAGAGCUUUUACUCUCCCCAAGAGAUUUCGCCCAGUUCGGCUGGGCAAACAGUUUGCAUGGGCCUGGUGGACCUCAGAUAAAAGGAAGAAUAAGUACGGAUCUCCUGGCUUGCCUCCCACAGCCCAGUAUUUUUUUCUUGCAUUGCCCAAAACGCCACUGGCUUCAAGGAGACUCGAGAAAUAUUGAGCAUGAGAAGAUACGGCAUAACCUAGUAGGAUGAAGAGGCUAUUCAAACAAAGUGGACUAAUCCAGUGCCAUGCAGCCCUAAUGGAAGGACAUCCUGGUCACUCUGGAUCAGUAGCAGCUUUACCUGGGGCCUGUCUCUCAUUGGAUGCAUGCCAGACUGUCCUUCAGAAUACAUAGUCCAGCAAAUAGGAGAAGAAAUUUAUUUGAACUUGACAUAAUUGCAAUGAACAUAAAGGGAGAAACUGGAGCUGCUUCAUCAGUGCCAUUUCCAUACUGUGGUUGGUCUUAGGAAAAGGACUGCAUUGAUGAAUUAGUGCAACAACCCUCCCAGCCAUGGAAGAAUAUAUCUUACAAGAAAAUCCAUAGGUGACUAAUAGGCCAGACUGGUCAUCCCUCAGCCAUAGUGGUAAAGCAGUCUUUUGAGAUGUGGGGGAAAUGUUUUGGUAUACCUGGAAAUCAGUCUAGAUCUAAAUUACAUUAAAUUAAGCAUCUAAAUACAGCAAUUGGAAUUUAACACGGUGUGCCUUAUGAACAAAAAAAAAAAAUCUGAAAAAUUAAUUUCCACUGUGGAUAUUUUAGUCUUGAAUCAUGCUUUUCUACCACAUUUCAGUGAUGUGUCCUGUAUCUUAAUACCUUUGCUUUUAUGUCUGUCUGUUUUUUAAGUUAGUCAUUAUAGUUAAGUUAGUCAUUAUACCAUGUCAAUUAGAAUCAGCUUAGCACCCUUCCAUUGUGUUGAGUGGUUCCAGUGAAUAAUGAUUGCAGGAUUAGCCUGCUAGUAAUUAAAUUUUGCUGCCUCUUAGCUUGAAAAUGAAACAACUCGAUGGAAUUUAAGAGUUUCUUGCUUUAUUUAGCUAGUGUGUCUAAAUAGUAUGGACAGGGGUACCAGGCCGGUACAGUCACAGUGCAAUCUUAAAAAAAAAUUUAAAAAGGCAAAAAGAAAUGAGAGAGGGAGGGAGGAAGAAGAGAGCAAGAAAGAGAGAGAAGGAAAACAAAAUCACCCAAUCAUUAAGACUUUGAACUGCAUGGAAAAUUUUCCACACUUAGCUGAAUUGUGAGUGUAAUUUCCUGAUUUUGCCGUUGUUCAAUCCAGAUACAGGGUUCGUCUCUGUGCUCAUUUUCACUCACAGAUAGGUCUUCAAAAUUUGAAAGUGAUAAGUUGUGUAAAAUAGGAUGUAUUGGCUAUUUGUUGAAGCCUAUUGGUGUACCUAUUUUAAUAAAGCAGAAGGUAGGUUCCUUACUGUUUGUGGACUAAAGAACACAUUGAAUGCUUGCUGCUCUUAUUGGCUUUGCUACUGUGCAGUGUUUUACCACUUGAAUUCACUGAUUAACGUUUUAAGCAGAAUUAAGCCUUUUUUUUUUCAAAAUCUGCUACCAAAAAUCACAGUAUUUCACAAAGAGAGUUCUUUGCUUCUUCAAAGUAUUAAACUGAUCUGUACCAUCCUCUUCACAGGACUGUAGUGGUGUACCCUCGUAUGAUACAAAUGAUGAGCUUCUGUCUGAAAUAAUAGGGAUGGUAUCUAAUCCUGAAGUGACAUCUGAAGGAUUUUAAAUCAAGGUUAUCAAUGACAGGUCUGUAAGCUACCCUCAGCUCAUUCUGUCUGUCCUGAGUUAGGAUGAAGAUGAAGGAAUUAGAUUCUCUUAACGGAUCCAGAACUUGAGCUUUUGUUACAUUUAAGGAUUCAUGCUGAAUAACAAUAAAAAAAGAUUAAUCCCAUCUGGUUUUCUGUUGAUUGUUAGUUUAAUUUAAGACUACUUGAAGUUUAGUCUGCCAGCCAAGGAAGGUAUGUGGUUAUCAACAUUACUGAUAGGAUAAACCAGUUAUGUAAGCUUAUUUUCAAAUCUCCCCAAAUCCCAUAAUACCUAACAAAAUAAAACUCUUGAGCUGAAAUGCACCUGUUUACAGAAAGAUACAGCAUCAAACAGAGUUUUCAUUAAGAGCUUUGGGUAGACUAAGUGGCCUUGUUGACUAAUUCUUUGCCUGUUUCCAUUUUUAGGCACGAAAUACAGCAGGAAACUGAAAAGAAAGUACGGACAAGAAAAACAGAGAGUUGUAAGAAAGACUUUUGUGCUUGGAAGACUGUAGAGGCCCAAGCACUGAAAAGAUGAGACUCUGAAUUAAUCCUGUGAGGGGAGAGGAAAGUGCCCGUGGGACUUGGCAGAAGUUGCUUGUUCUUUCCUCAUGAAGAUAUGCAUUUGUUCCUGGGUCGUGUGGGAGGUGGCUCCUCCUUUCUCUCUGCAUUUGUAGCCACCAUGAAAACAGAUUAUUCCAGAAGACAGUCUAAUAUGCAAUUGCAGACCCAAAUGUCACUGUUGAGGUCUGAGACUCUCUCUUCCUGACACACAGCUAAAUUGUACGCACACGUGUAAGCGGUUUCACAAGCCUGCUAAUGAAUGCCCCAAACCAAGUUAGAUGGAGCUUACAAGGGGUAAGUAGGGAGAGAGCAAAACACCAAUGGGCAACAAAAACAAAAAAGCACAAAACUGAGAAAGAAAUUAAAAAUGUAGAUCAUGGAAAACCUAAAAUGGUAUCAUCAGUGUCAGGCCGUGAAACAAGGGGGGCAUUCUGUUGUUGAAUCACAUGUUGCAGGCCCCCUUAAGUGUGCCACACAAAGUAUGGAAGAUGCUGUGCAAGGCGGGUGUGUAAAAAGGAUGAGCAAACAGAGGAGGCUUGUGAAUGAAGAAAAAUUGAAAGUUUUUGAAAAAAGAAGAGGUCAGAAGAGAGAAUAAUAGCACAAAAGCUGGUAUUGAAUAAAAGGGGUGAGACAGUAGAAGGAAAGAUGAAAGAAAGUACAGCCACUGAUUUGAUUUGCUGUUUUUCAUUAGAAAUGUAUCCUUUUGUCACUUCUGGAUGCCAUACACAUAUAUAAGAAAAUACAAGCUUUUCAGCUUAACAGGUGAAAUCCUGCCAGAACCCUGGCAUCAAAACCACCUGCAAAAACCAAUAAAACAACCUUCAGUGUUAAAUCAAUGCCAGCGUUAAACAAUAUCCUGUGCCAAGCAGGGAGGUGGCAGCCCAGCUGGAUGAAUACAUGCCAGAGCAUUUAGAUGAUAACUGCUACGAUGAAUCAAACUCUUGAGCAAAUAGAUACCUAGACAAAGAGCAGAGCGACCAAAUUCCAUGGUGCACUACCCUGCUAUCUCCGCUGGGUUGCAAAAUGCGUGAGUCAGAGGCAGAAGAUAGCCCUUGGCAGUAUCUGUAGAGAGUACUAUGAUCCCCACUUAAGCAAACCUGUGUGUUCUUACUUCCUGAUGUUUCUGGGCCCUUUUCAAGUGUGCUUUCUAGCACUACUCUGCCCCAAUGUCUAUGUGGCAGCCAACCAAGGUCUGCAUCAAUAGGAAAGGGAUCAUUUGCUAGAAGGAAACGGUGCUGCAAGCAGGACAUCAGGUGCUCGGGAGAUAGCAACCUCAGAGUCCAACCUCCUGUUGCACAGUUGUGGUCCAGAGUCUGAGCUGCCAUUAUAGAAACAACAAACAGGCCAGAUCCUUAGCUGGCAUAGAGCCACAGCAGCUCAUCAUAUUAGCUUGAGCUCUGCCUUCUCUACCUCUUGUGGUACUGAUUAUUAUUAUUAAAAAGAUCCCCAGAAUAAAACAGAUGAAGUAAAGUGUACUGAACUCACCAGCAACCUUAAGUAAAAGCCCAAGUUGCUUAAUUUAUCCUUGGAGUCAUUUUACUACUGAGCUUUUUUUACCUUUCUUGUGGCUGCUGUCAUAAAUGGCCUGCAGGAACAAUGGAAUUGUCAUUUCUGGAUGUUUUCAAGAAUAUCACUAUUGGGAUUGAAACAGAUGCAUCUGAAGCAGAGGAACUGACUAGAUUAUCUCUUGGUGUCUCUUCCAACCUAGUAUUUUUUUCCUAUGAUUUCAGCAAACGCAUUCAGUUACUGCCCUAAGCUUGCAGUGUUACACUGCUUCCACUAGGCUUGUGUAACAAAAGCCCCAACAACCAAACCCCUCUGCUUCCUCCAUGGCUGCUCAUGCAAUACAAAGUGUGGUAUCAUCAGUUUUGCAGGUUGGGAAAUCAAGAUCUGAACAGUGAUGACAGUGUAAAGUAAAAAGUAAAGAAGGAUAUCAAAGUUAAUAGGUAGCCAGCUUAUUACAGUGUUUCAUGUCCUGCUUAAAAUACUUUUCUACUUCAAAUUUGGGUGACAGUUGCCUCAAAACCUCCCACAUGCUCACGACAGUACUGAAGUAAACUGGGCCUGGAUUCUAAAGGAAGGAGCCAGAACAAGGUGCUAGAUCUCCUUCUAGGAGUUUCCCAAAGGAGAUUAAUCUCACCAGAGAUGGACAUCUGCUCUCCGAGCAUCUGCCUUCACAUCCACCAAGUGUUCUUGAUGUUUCACCCUGCCUGUAUCUGCUUGGCUUCUGCCUGUGAUUGGGACCAACAUGAAACCUCUGGCUCCAUUCCCCUCACUGUAGGAUGCGAAGGCAUAGGCCGUAUGAGGCAAAAUCAAGAGGGGCAGCUGUACAUCAGCUGUUUCCUGGUGAUCUACAGACUGGUAAGAUCCAUUAUACCAUCUGGUUACCUCCCUCCUGUAAGAAGCAACGUGUGAUAGUGGACCAGCUCUUUUAAAUGCUCUUUCAAAAUGGUUCCAGAACACCAUUUUCCUCUCUGCUUCUGUUUUUCUGAUAUCAGACUACACCUGAGUAUGGGUUAAUUUGUUCUCUCCCUCCCAGUGGUACCACAGGUCCAUCAGCAACUUAUUUCUCCUUUGCCCUUUACUUCCUAAAUCAAGAAUUAAUAAGGAGAAGAAUUUGCUAACACCAUUUUAGGUGUGCUGCGAGCACAUCAGAAAUAGACUGGUUAUAUUAUCAGAAAAAACACUGGUAGCUGACAAGUCCUGCUGAGAGAUUAAAUCCAUGGGAGGGCUGUGAGCAAUAUGACAGAGACAAGCUGCUAUUGAUAAGCUAAAAUCAGUGUUUUUCCCCAGCACUCCUGAUAUCAAAAGAGUCAGUUGCAACAUCUCAGCUCGCUGUUGUGCAUUCCUGGUACCUGACCUUCUCCGCCUGGCUGUUGUGCAUCUAUUAGCCUGUGAGCUUUCCCUACAUAGAUCAGACACUGAGAAGUGGGAGGGAAAAGGAAGGGCAGAGGAAGGCAGGAGGGGAAAUAAAUAACCUAAAUUGUUUUCUUUUCUGAUUUUAUAAAUAGUCUAGGGAAAAGAACUCUGGCAGGAGCCGAAUGAUAUCUGAACACUGCUGUGCCAACACAACAGCUUUAUGGGGAGGCAGUACUAGGUCAGAAGACUGAUUCCCUUUCCUUUUGGCUCAAGAACUGUUACACAGGGGAAAGACAGACAUUUUAGGUGUAAAAACUGGUAGAGUGGUAUAGAGCAGACUUGAAACCUCCCUUUGCCCUGUGACUGUGGUGUGUUUCUAUGGCUAAAAAAUAUUGACCAUUUCAUAUGAUAAAAGGGCAGAAGAGGAGGAAAGAACAAAUGCUAUGCAGCAAGCUCGCUGCUUUCUGCAGGCUGCAAUCCACAUGGGCGAUACUGUCCCAGUCCCACUAACAGCCCCGUGGCAGAACAGGCGUGUGGGCUCAGUACUGCAAUGCAAAACCUGAACUCAUGCAGCUGUAGCAUUCCUCCUCCACCGUUUGUGCUGUUUCUCCUCCUUCCUCUCCCCUCUUACACCUGCCUGCAGCCACUGCAGCUUGCUUUCUCUCUCCCUCCCAUUGUUUCCCAGAGCCUCCUCUGGCACACACCUUUUGUGGCCUAGGGAGGAGAGAGAUGGGAGCAGGGGUUGGCAUGUUACCUGAGUGGAACCAGGAACCAGCAGAGCUGAACCUCAAAAACACAAGUUAGUGGGUCAGGACACUGCCCCAGGGUGGCCAGGACUGGGGAAGGUGAUUAGAGUUCAAGGUAUUCUGUGCUCACAGCUUUGUCCUAGGCUGUUCUGGUAGAGUGCUAUAGCCCAAGCCAAAAGGAAUUCCGCAGCUGACUUCACUAGCAGGAUAAAAUCAGCUUCUAUUGGCACAGGCAGAAUUCAGCCCUGAAGGUAUAUGAAUAAUGUUUCCUUAACUGGCAUCUGAUAUUACUCCUUGUAUUAUGCUUCUAUGAGCGAGAGACAAGCAAGACCUCUCUGCCGGUCCAGUGGUUCGUGGUGUUCAAGGCAAACUAUGAAUACCCACUUAGGGAAGGAGGAGGAACAGGACAGAAUGUGAUACACGGAUUAUCAUCACUCUGAUCCAGCUAGAAACCAGGCAGGGGUCCUGAGCCUGUUCAUCCAUUUAAACACAGACACUCAUCUGCGGGCAACAUCAUAGCAGCAGAUGACCUCAGCCUGCAACACGGUCAGCAGAAAGCCCUCCCUGCACCUCCCUGCAGAGCUGAAGUAGACCCACUUUUCGCACUGCCCUUACACCCAGCCUGGAGCCAUGGGUUGCUACUCCUGCUAACACUGCUGGUUCAGUCACACAGAUUAAAUAUGCUCUCCUCAGACACAGAAGCUAUUACUUCUCUGAGAUGAAACAACAUCCCACACUCUUAUUAACCCAUGCCCUAGUUCAGAAGUAAAUCUAAUUUGUGGCUUUCAUAGUUAGCUAGUGCUGGUGUUAGUCUGUCCCUGUGUCUGCUCUGACUUCAUUGGAUACAUUUAUGCAGUGCCGAAUAUGGCAGAGCCCAAUUUACUGUGGCCUGUAAGCAUUAUUCCUCAAAACAGAACAAGGAAUCAGGGUGGUUGGAGCUUUUUGUUUCACUGGGGAAGAGAAAAGUAAAACCACAAAUGUUAAAAAAGUCCCUGCAACAACACUUUUUGUAUUCAGCAGAGAAUAACAUGCCAUGUGCUAAGUUUGUCAUAUGGGAUAGUCCUGCAUGUCCAGUCACCUUCCACUGACUGUCUCAAGAGCUGUGCUGUACGAGAGAGUAGAGUUUCAAAGGGUUCGCUGGAUUUCUGAUGGCAAACAUAAAACAAAAUGGGUAUUGUUUCACAAAUACACAAGGUAACAGGGGAAAGGGAAGUGGCAUCUUCAGUGAUGGCCACCACAGAAGCAGUAUUACAGUAAUUUAUGUAGAAGAUUCAGCUGUAGAUUAUGUUACCUAACAAGCAAUGCAAGAAAGCAAAGAAAACCCAAACCCUUUUUAACCAAUGCCCGAUAUUUUCAAUUCUAGUUGGCCCAGUUUAUUGACUUUUUUUAAGGAAUUGAACAUAACUAUAUUAAAACCAUAAAGAUGCAUGGA